rnacentral:lncRNA from 1 species
CCCAAAAGUGUGCUCCCCAUGUUUCAGAUAUUAGAUUUGAAAUUCAAACACCAAACUUCAAAAAAAACCAAAGAAAAAUAAAAAAAUCUAUCUCAUAGAUUACCAGAUAAUUUCAUCAUCAUUCUAGGUGAAAAUGGAUUGAUCGUGUGUUAGAAAUUCUUUGGGUCCAGCUUGCUUGAAGUUUUCGGGUCCACUUGAGGGCAAAAAUGAGCUGAUCUGGGUCUUAAAAAUAAUUCAAAGUUUGAUCCUGGGAUUUGCUGUGUGUCAAUUUGUGUUGAGUCUGAGUUUUUGCUAAUUUUUGUUCAAAUCUACUGAUGCGCUAUCAAGCUGCUAGCAAACUGACCCUGCCUGGUUUUUGUUUCUAUCUCGUUUCAGGUACAUUUAACUCUACCCACUGUAAAACCUUUGUGAUAUGGAAGUGAGGAAGAUUUGAAGCAUGUUGGCCAUUUAUUCUUAUUAUAGGAGUUUAAUUCUUUCUUUAUUUCGAUGUUUUAGUCUGAAUAUGUUAAUGG